GUCCGGUCGGCAUGGCCGCCGUCCACUCCGUCCCCCCCUGCACUGCUCAUCCCUGGACCCCGACCUGCCCCCGAGCCCGUCCUUAUCCUCCCCCUCGCGCGAGCGCCCCCUCCAUUUCUCUUCUCUGCAGCGCCCUCCCCCUCAUUUUCUUCCUCUCCCGUGAGCUCCCACUGCUUCCUCCCUCUCUGUUCUUUCCCCUUCCACCCGAAGCCGCGUCCUUCUGCUCUCGCUCCGGCGAGCUCGCAAAGCUAGCGCCGUCGCCUCCCUCGCUCGAGAUCCACUUCCAGGAGCCCCCUCAGCGCCAUCCCGCAGCCCAAACCGCCCCGCCCGCUGUGGUCUUCCACGACUCCAGCCGCGUGCCGCCCAUCGCCGAUCCGCGCGACCACGCCCUCCCGCGCCCCGCCGCCAUGUCCGUUAGUACCUCGCCGACCUCGUGAAGCCCCUGCCACCCUCGCCCUGAAGCUCCACGUCUCGGAGCGCUUCCACGUCGACCUCGUCUCCGACCACCGCCGCCUCGCCGUCGCUGGGUGUCUCCAGCGCGGGAUUCGACCCGCCAACGCCGCCCAUCGAUUCCCCGUGCUGGCGCGCACGUGGAUAGCCUCUCGGAGCGCCACCUCGACCACCGGAGAUCCCCCGCGCCCGUCGUCUUCCCCAACUCCGUCGCCGUCGCCGUCGCCGUUGCUCUCCCCCGCCGGACUGCUUCUCCUCCCCGUGCGAGCCGAUCGACUCCCCCGAUCCCCCCUCGAGAGUUGACUCGACGAGUUCUUCGACGAGGAGGAUCAGUAGACGUUCUACCCACGUCGGCCUUGAGCCUUGUGUGUGGUGUGUUUACUAGGCGCCACGCUGAUUUUAUUCAAGCCAUCUUAUGUCAAGUGGUAUCGUAUUCCGCUGCUACUCUCUGAUGUUCGCUUCGUUAUGUAUCGAAGCUUUGUAUUGUAAUAACUUUAAUUCUGCUGCAUUAAAAUGGUAAUAUAACUUUUGUAUGUAUGUUUGUGAUGUGGUAUCGUUUGGGUAUGUGUACGUACUUGCUUGUUCCUGGGAAAGUACGCGAGCAUAUCCCGGUCCUGGAAUAGUUAUAUUGUAUUAACUUAGGGUUGGUGUUGCAAUUGCCCUUAAGUGGACAACUGUACAAUUAAGCUUAGGAUAAUCCAAUGUACAGUAAUCCGGUUCCGUGACAAACACCGAUGAGAUUCAUGGAUUUGGUGUUAACCUCAUGUUGGAGACCCAUAGGAGGAAGAAUGGAGAUACACCUUUGGAUGUGAUGGACUACUUGUGGCAUGAGCUUCAUGCGGCGAUUCUCUCCAGGAGAGUGCCUCCCUUUGCCCUGUAUAUCAUGAAGUUAAUUCUUGCCAAGGCACCUCUUAUGGAUGAUUUGGAAUUCGUGGAGCAUGCCUCCAAGAACCGAAGAAGAAGAGACACCUUGCACCGCCUCCUAAUAACUUUCAAGCCCAUGUUGAGGUGGAGGAGGAUGAGGAUGAACCUGUAGAUUUGGAUUUUGGACCCUCCUCUAGCACUCGUGGUUCUCGCAAGCAAGGUGGUUGGAAAGGUAUGCUAAGGAAGAUAUUUUGCACGCAACAAUCUAAUGAGAGGAGGAUAUACAAGAUUGACAAGGACAAUCAUCGCAUACUUCGUUGUCAAGAGUGUCUCUUCCAAUCCAUGAACUUGCCUAGCUCUCCUGUGUCCGAUGUUGAGAACUUUGAGGGUUGGAGGAGCACCCAUGGAGAUUGGGAAAGGAAUGAUGGUCAUAUCCCUUCUCCGGUGCGUGGCAAUGAAGAAGCUGAAGAUGAAGAUGAUGAAGUGCCCGCUGCUGAGGGUAGUGAUGAGGAUGCCUCCUCUAAUGAGGAUGAGGAAGUUGAUGAAGACGAGGCCUCCGAGUAUUUGCUUGUUUCUCUCUUGGGACGAUUCUUCCCUUUUUGUCUUGAUGCCAAAAGGGGAGAGUGUAGUUGUGAGGGAGAGUGUUUAGUUAGGCCUUGGGGAUUUGCAUGGUUUAGUCACAAGCUUGUGUUUAUUCAUGAAGUUUUAAUAUGCUUGUGCUACUUAUCUAGUUUGUUGAACUAUGUGUGAGCUACUUUAAAUUUGUGGUUUGUGUAAGACUUGAUAACUAUUUCUGAUGUAAUAGCUAGCUAUGUGUGAUGGAUUAUUUGUUCUAGCUAUGGUUUUAAUGCUUAUCUCUUAUAUAUCUUGUCUUACUAAUCUUGUGUGGAGAUGUGUUCAUUUCUGCCCUUAUACAAGUUCUCAGUCACAAGAUCUCAUUGCAAAAGGUAAAUUAUUUUGUAGGGAUUUAUCUAAUCUUAUAUGCUUCGUGGAAGCAUUGCUUUGUUGUGUUGUGGAUAAAUCCUUGUAGAUUCAUCCACUUGUGGUAUGCCUUUAUGAGGUAUUGAUCUUAUCUUUGAAUGAAUGAUUCUACAUAUUCUUUAGAGAGCUUAUUGUUGUAUCCUUAAUCCUUUGCAAUUGAGUUAUUGGUUUAUAAAAUCUAGGGGGAGUGUUGAUCCUA